CAAUAUUUGAUAAUCAUUCCUAUUGUAUAUAGUUUUGUAUUAGGUUAGAACUUUCUUAUUUAGACAAAGGGGGGAGAUGUAGUGGGUAGCUGUUCCAGCUUUGACCUCGAAGCACUGCCCCCAGUGAGGCAACAGGUAACUACCACACCUGUCUAUGACUUGCCCCUGGGCUAUGGCCGAAAUGGGACCCCUUAAGAUCUAAGAUGCUUACAUGUCAGCUCUCUUGGUUCCUCGUGAUCCUCGAUGCUGGAUUGCAGACUGAGGCAGAGUUCUCCAGAGAACCAUGCUGGACUGCACCUCACCUCUCCUGGAUCCUGUAACCAACCCCUUUAUUGGCUGUAAGUUACCGUGAAAUAAACCUCUUUUAAAUACCAGAUAAACUACGUGGAAUUGCCUUGUUAAUUGCUGCUAUAUAAAAGCAAACCACUCCCUUCUUCCAAGUCCAUUAUAUAGGCUGCCACCAGAAGAUGUGGCACAUCUAGGGUGGAUGUUGUAACCUCAGUUGAUCCGGAUUUAGGGUGGGUCUUUCCACUAUAGAUGAUCCAAUCAAGAAAAAAUCCCUCACAGAUGUACCCAGCUGUUUGGGUUUUAGCUAAUCCCAGAUGUAGUCAAGUUGACAACCAAGAAUGGCCAUCAUACCACCUCCUGUUAUUUGGCCAUGUGCCUCCAGGCCAACAGCUCACUGAGGCCAGAUGUAUUUAUGGUCUUCCUCUUUUUCCUUGAUUCCGUUCAGCCCCAACUUGAUUUCCAGUCUGCCAUUGAAGUUAUUGCCCUUAGUGUGGGCUGAGUGAUUUCUCCCAUUCCCUCAUAGACACAUGGCCAGAGCGUGGCAAAACCCCUAUUAAAUAAAUGACUUGUCCUGAGCACCUGCCUGUCCUGUAGGAACCUCCUCCUGCCUGGCCUCAUCUGGAUGUGUGAUCACCAACCCCAAGCAAACUUUGUUCUGCCUGCUACCUGAUAUCCCCAGGCCAGGGACAAACCUCUCCUCUGCAGGUGGUGUGGGUCUUACCCUCUCUCCUCAUGCACACAACCUCACCCUCUUCACUGAGAAAAUGUCUUUGUCUAGCUCUCUUCUCUUACUUUCCCCUUGGCCUUUUUUUUUUUCUGUUACAGUGGAGGAGGUGUUCGGAUCCCAGCAAAGGGAGAGUACACUCUGGGCCACUAAAGCCCAUCCCUUCUUGUCAUUCCAGAGGCAGGACCCAGGCAGUCCUCUUCUAACACUCCUACAUUAUGGGAUUUCCCUUCCCCUGGGCCAUUCCAGUCAGAGCACAAAGAAGUGUUCCGCUGUAAGAAAAAGAUAAAAAGAGAACGGAGUCUUUUUUUUUUUUUAACCUCAUAUCUUCCAACUUCUGGCUCAUUUUGAAGAAAAACUUCUCAAAGAAUUAUUUAAACCUCUCUCUUUGAAAGUCUUUGCACUCCUUUCCUAGAAAUCAUUCCAUGAAGGUUUUUUUUUUAACCCCCAGCAUGCCAUAAAAUUCACUCUCAUUGUAACAGGUCCCCAGACCUUAGCACAACUGACGCCAUGCUAGAGACACCAUUCUGACCUUCGAAGCCAACAUGUGAUCCCCAAACCUGCCAAAAUGGGAACAAAGACCUGGUCCACAGUUCUGGGGUCCAAGGAAGUCCCCAACCUUACUUUUUGACAUCUGUAGUUCAGACUCUUGCUAACUGCUCUUGCUAACUGAAGUGUGUCAACCAGGAUGUGAUUUUUGUGCAUAAAAGACAUAGAACCAUGAGGACAAGGACUGCAUGUUUUAAGCAAAUCCCCCAUAUAGCCACCAGCCGGCGAUUAAAACUUUCUUUUCAGCUUUAAGAGUGUCUGUGUGUGUUCUCUAGUAGACUUACCUCAAAACAUCGUCAAGGAUACCAAUGGUCUACUUAUCCCGGCCCAAUUUUACCUCCUACAGCAUUGAGCAUAGUUGAUGGGCUGUUUUGUGUUGAAAAUUGUCCCUCAUUCUUGGGCUGCUCUAAGUGAAUACCAGAAACUUAGUGGCUUGAAUAAGCAUGUAUUUCUCAUGUCUCUGGAGAACAUACUUCAUGCAGGUCCGAGAUCCAGGCACAAGCCCAUCCAGGGUCUGUUGGGGGCCCACUUCCCAGCUUAGCUAGUGGUUAAUCCUAUCUGUUUUUCUAAGAAUAUUAAUCCCCUCACGGGAAUCCAUCCUUCAGACCUCAUCUAAGUCUUGUCACCUCCAAAGCACCCCAAGUGUAGUCCCACAGCAGGAGAUAAGAGUUCAACAUAUGAAUUACGAGGGGUAGAACUGAUAAGAAAAGGGUGAUGCCCCCCUUUCCCUUCUUCUGUUUUGUUUUCUAUCUCAACCAGGGACAUUGGAUGGGGCAUAAAACCCUUAACCCCAUACACAUCCCUGUACUCAUUGCCCACCCCCCAUACAUAGAGAACCUAAAUCCAAACAGCUCCAGACAAAUUGCAUAUAAUAGCACAAGAGGCUCCUUACGGGACCAAUCACUGUUGAGGCACUGUGGUUUGAAUAUGAGCUGGCGCCCACAGGCUCAUGUGUUGAGGCUUCAUCUAGGAGCGCUCUUUUGUGAAGUGAGAUAUAGCUGUGUAACAAGGCACCAGACCUUAGUAGGCCCCCGCGGAUCUUAGCACAACUGACUCCAUGAUUAAAGUACCAUUCAGGUUGUGAAACCCAGCAUGUCGACAGAACCACCUGCUGAAACUAAAACAAAGGCCUAAUCCAUCAAAGUCCGUAGUUCUGGGAAAGUCUCUAAAUGUAUUAACCCUGCUUUUUGGCUUCUGUAAUUCUGCCCAUGGCUAACUGUUCUUGUUAACUGAAGUAUGUCAACCCAGAACAUGUUUUUUGUGCUUAAAAGCUCACACUGGGAAAGACUCGGGGCCACACUGGGAUCUCGAUCACCUAGUGUAGUUGCUGGCUGGCUAAUAAAGACUUUCUAUUGGCUUAACCCCAUGUUCCAGCUGUCUGGUCUGUGAAUAUUCUACAACAGCUGGAAGAAGAGAAUAACUGGGGUCAAGCUCUGGGGGGCAUCUUGUCCCUGGUCCCUUCUUAUCUUUUUCUCUGCUUCCUUUUCAUCAUAAAGUAAACAGUUCCCCUCUGCCACAAUGUUCUGCCCAAGGCCAAACUACUGUAGAUGAACCCUGACCAUGAGGAAAAAAAAAAAUAAAUCCUUCAAUUGUUUCUGUCAAGUAUGUAGUCUUAAAAACCAAAUAGUACAUGAUGUGAUUUAUUUGCUUGGCUAGUUAAUGGGACCACAGUGCAGGGGAGGGAAGAAAGGGAAGAGAAGAGGGGUGGUGGACCCAGACCACAUCAACAGAGCAGAAUCGCUGUAUCGGUCAGCGUUUCAUCACUACAAGCAAAUUCCUAAGAUAACCAAUAAUUCUCAUUUUGGGGGCUUUGAUCCACAGCCAGAUAGCAUAUUUGAGGCCCAUAGUGGGACAGCAUAUCAUGGCAAAGCAGUAUAACCACCACAUUAUAUAGCUUGGUGAUAAAGAGACCCAGAGACCCAGUGUGCCUUCCAAAAACAUACCACCAAUGAUCUAAUACCACUGCCUCCCAAUAGAUCCCAUCUCCUAAAUGUCACCACUUCCUCAAGGGGCCACCAUCUUCCCCAAAGAACCACAGCCUGGGGACCAAUCUUAUAGUGCCUGGGCCUUUGGGGGACAUUUAAGAGCCAAACGAUGGGAACUGCUGAGAAAUGAGAAAGAGUGAGUUCCAAAGUAAAUGGUUCCAGGGUGAGGAGAAGUAUGCCCAAUAUAUUAUAUUUGAAAGGUUUUCAUGUGAAAGACUGAUUUGAUUUGAAAUAUUCAUUUCCAGGAAGCAUUAAUCAGAUCACACUGCAGAGACUUUUAUUUAAUCUAGGGAAACACUAAAAGAUGGAGUGGAUUUAAAACUAAAAGAAUGGGUAGUAGUCCAGAGACAGAGGAGGCAUCUUCACCAUGAUUUGACGGCCACAAUAUCCUCCCCCAAACCCAGAUAGCAUUAAAUCCUGCACUGGGGAGCCUUUUGACAUUCUCCUGUGGGUCUGCACUUUCUCGGUAGCAGUACAACUUACUGGCUUGAGUAUAGGGAAUUUUUAGUGACAGGGUAGACGCAUGCUCCUGGGCCUGGGUAGGCAAGGAGCUGGAAUUUCAGUGACCCAGGAAAACUGAGUGUUUAUUUUGUCAGCUGUCCCCAUUAGAAGGAAUUAGAUGUGGGGGAACUGAGGACAGUGGAGAUGUAUCCUGGUCAGUGUCCCCUGGCGGUCAGGCCCUUUGCAACUGAACAUCCCUGGAGAUCCUGGGAUCUUCUGGAUAUGUCUGAAGCCUAGGUACAAGGGACUCAGCCUCAUUACAAUAUCAUUUGCAUUCUGGUUUUUAACUUCCUCCUUUUCAGGAGGAACGUGGGCAGAAAUAUCUAAAGGGAUAUCCAGUCCGUUAUGAUUUUGGAAAGGAAAGUCCUCUCCUUAAUCCCAUGACUAUGUCACCACUUUAUCCAUAUUCAUAACUUUAGAAAUCCAGGGAUGUAUGAACAAACCAGUUAUUUCAGUAUGAAGAUCUUAACACCAAGGUAAAGUGAGCUAAUGAAACAAUCCAAGAGUUUCUGGAAAUGGGGCAACUGAAACCUUUUAUUCUUUUAUUUUUAAUGGUUAAGAGACAUUUCAAAUGUCUAAGUUCAAAGUGGAUGAAGCUGUGUACCAAAUUGUUUGGACAAACAUCGUGCUCUUUAACUGUGUUUGAUGGGUUCGAUCUGCAUGCUGCUCGGGGCUGUUUAUAGAAUUUUAAUUUCUCCCAUUGUGCUGGAGUUCAGAAUCAAGGUAAAUAAGCAAAAUUCUUUGGUCCAGUCUUCCACAAACAUAAUUCUGUCCCACGUAAUUAUUAGGUUAAUUCAAUUUUCCUAAUUUCACAGAAGCCUGGGGAGAGAGCUCAGUCCAUGAAGGGCUUGCUGUACAAACAAACCCGGGAACCUAAGGUCAACCCCCAGCAUCCAGGUAAAAAGCCAUCAGUUUCCACAUAAGUUCUUGUCUUCUUUUCCUUUUUUCCCCCUGCCACAUAAUAUAUAAUUCACUGAAACUGAUAAAAGAAUGGGUUUUUGUCUAAUAACAAGGCUAUGGUCUUUCUCCUUAAGGCCAAAAUAAAACAGAAGCAUGAAGUAGGCAGUUUGCUUCCUGGGGUUUAUGCUUUGGGAUACCAUCUCUCCCAAAGCAACACACCUGGCCACUGGCUUGGGUCCUAGUUCACACCACCUAUUUUCAGCAAGCUGCCUUUUGAGAUAGUACCCAGUUCGACUGCAUUGUUACAAUAGAAGUAAACGAUCGCCUAGGGGUUAGACCCCUCCACUACUCUCUGUACCUAACUGAAAACAAUUCUCUAUUAAACAGGGAGGGCAGAGGAGGCAUUAGGGGAAAGGAUGUUGUCCUACAGAGGCAGGAAAUGUUUCUGAGGGUACAGUUCUAGGGGAGUUGUCCCCCUCACAGUGGGCCACAUCAUUGUUCAUGUCAUAAUUGUGUCUUGUAUUACAUGUGAUUAUGUAAGCUAGAUCAUGGGCUGAGAGCUACUUUGCAAGGCAGACUAGAAAAGGGUUGCUUUUCAUGUGACCUUGCCACAAAUGAGAAUCCCCCUUCAGCCUUGCCUGAAGACCUGCCCUGAAUGCCUGGAUUGAUGUGGGAGUACUCACCUGCACUGUGAGUGGCAGCGUAGGAAAGCAGUCAAGAUAAAAAAAAAAAAAAAAAAGGAGAAGGAAAAUGGUCUCUCCUCCUGCUCACUUGGCCUCCCUCUUGCCGAUGAGUUGAU